ensembl:lncRNA
AUUUUUGCUAUCAAAAUAUAUUUCAGCUUUUAUUCCAAAAUGUAUUUAAAAAUGUAUACAUACAUUUAACUCUAUUCAAAUAUAUUUCACCAUCAAAAAUGCUCUCAUUAAAAUAUGUAUUUCCUAUAGAAAAUACAUUACAAAAUGUAUUUUGAAGCCCAUAUUAAAAUGAAUUUUUCAGAUCCUGUGAAAGUAAAAAGAUGAAAUGUAAUUACCAACGUAUUGAUUAUAUCACAUUUAGGUGUUGAAACACAUUUUAUAGAUAUACAAUACCAAAAUACAUUUUCAUCUUAUGGUCACAAAUAUAUUCGAAUGUAUUAGAGCAAACCCGGUAGGACCACUACUUGUCCCUCCAAAUGAAAUAAUCCUGUUUGGAGUAGUGUUUAGUGUUAAAAGAAGAGUUGAUGCAACUCAGUGGUUAAUGUAUUCAGGAAUAUAUUUUCCAAAUGCAUUCAAAAAUAUUUGUAAAAUACAUUUAUUUGACAUUUGGGAUUAAAUGUACACAAAACUUUUUGAGCGUAAUGUAAGAAAAUUAUUCAAAACUAUAUUUUCUGUGGAUCGAAAUGGUGGACUUUGAAUAAGCGAAUACAAGAGAACACAAUCUUGAAAGCCAUGUAGAUUUUAAAUGAUGUCUCAUAAAAUUGUAAUCAUAAUUAAUUUGGAAUUAAAAUUGCCAAAGCUGCAAAGGACUGGACGGCAGGGAUCCUGAUUUGGUGGUAAGUCUAACCAAGUAAUGCAACAUUUGUACUGCGUAGUCCAAUGUCCUAAGAUUCAGGAGUCAGGUUUGGUGUAUUCAUCUGUACAGCUUUUUCAGAAAUAAAUCUACAGUGAUGGUAUUUGUUACAGGAAGUGUAAUGGCUAAUCAAUAAAAUAUAAAUACAGUGAUUUGAGUGUAUUAUUACAUUAUUAGUACAAGUUAUGUUCACCUACAAAUUUAGUUUUUUCUUCAUCCAGUUAAGCAAUAGGUUUAAUUACUAUUAGUAUAAGUUUUUGCAAAAUGAUGCAUUAAACCUAAAAGUGAUAAAUUCAUUAUCUGUUUGUUUUAAUUGCAACAGCAAGUUUUGUUUUGAUAGUAAGUUGGUAGUGUCACGGUACGGUGAGCAGCAGCGCCACUGUUCCGUGCACCCUCAGUUCCAGUCACAUACAAACUCAUCCCGGACUUGUUUCGUGUCAUGUCCUUCAUCAUUCACACCAGGUCCCAUUUAUCUCGUUAGUAUGUGUUUAAAUGUUUCCCCUCUGCUCAUCACAUUGUGGAUCAUUGUUGUUGUCCUGUCUUUCGUUUAAUGUAAGUAACUUAUAUCGUUACUUGCAUUCGUUUUGCUGCUGAAGUCAGCCUUUUCUUUCGUUGUUUUUGUGCUCAGUGUUACUUUUGUUUAAAUUAAAAAAAUCAACACCGACUACCUCUGCCUGCGCCUGGUUCUCUGCUCCCGCAACACCGCAUUCAUUACAGGUAGAUAUCUAGUUAAAUGCAUAGCCUCAUGCUACACUAGCCAGCUAUUUAAGCAUCGCCUGCUUUAGGAAACGUUUCCUGGCUAGCCUAACUAGUUAGUACAGUCUAAGUGCCUUCUUUUAGGCAGUAAUGCAUCAAACUGGUGUGGUGGCACAGAAGAGCUAAAUCAAAGUGAUGCGCCCAAUUUACUGCACGGCUGUCGGAUAUCCACAGCCCUACACUUACCGCCAAAGUAAUAAUAAAAAAACGGGCCACUGAAUUCACCAACAUUCGGAGAAAGGAAGAACCUGCACCCGUUGGACCAGAACCUGCCCCAGGCGGAGUGGGUGCUCCUGAAGGUCAUCAAGCGAAAGUGGUCGGAGCCAAGGUGAACAGGUCCUCAUCAGGAGGUGGAGAGAACAAGCCAUGCGGUCCGCCUGAGGGACAAAGGAGAGACAUGGUACCAUUGGAGCCAGUGUACACCAGCACAGGAGCCAGGGAGGUCGCUGACGGACCUCAUCCAAACCGGGAAGGAGGAGCUUGCCCCAGUGUGGACGGAAGGAGGACCAAAACCAGUCGGACCGGUGCCAGGAGCGGACCCCAGGAUACUGCGGGACUACGAGCGAGAGAAGAAGACAAAGGACGGCGCCAGGGGAAUAGCCUUUUAGGGGAAGGAACUGAAGAACACUAACAAAAGGGGUAUAGGACACCGAGUGGCUCCUACCACUCGUACCAAGAUGACAGGGUUACAGAGAAAGGUCUGGGGAGAUGAGAAUAGAAUGAAGUGGUACAUGGACAUUGGUGGAAUAAUGAUGUGUGUUGUAUGUUGUUACAGGUUUCCCAGGUUGGCA